AACGAACGCUGGCGGCAGGCUUAACACAUGCAAGUCGAGCGAGACCUUCGGGUCUAGCGGCGGACGGGUGAGUAACGCGUGGGAACGUGCCCUUCUCUACGGAAUAGCCCCGGGAAACUGGGAGUAAUACCGUAUACGCCCUUUGGGGGAAAGAUUUAUCGGAGGAGGAUCGGCCCGCGUUGGAUUAGGUAGUUGGUGGGGUAAUGGCCCACCAAGCCGACGAUCCAUAGCUGGUUUGAGAGGAUGAUCAGCCACACUGGGACUGAGACACGGCCCAGACUCCUACGGGAGGCAGCAGUGGGGAAUCUUAGACAAUGGGGGCAACCCUGAUCUAGCCACGCCGCGUGAGUGAUGAAGGCCUUAGGGUUGUAAAGCUCUUUCAGCUGGGAAGAUAAUGACGGUACCAGCAGAAGAAGCCCCGGCUAACUCCGUGCCAGCAGCCGCAGUAA
rnacentral:rRNA from 1 species